rnacentral:rRNA from 1 species
UACGAAGGGGGCUAGCGUUGCUCGGAAUCACUGGGCGUAAAGGGUGCGUAGGCGGGUCUUUAAGUCAGGGGUGAAAUCCUGGAGCUCAACUCCAGAACUGCCUUUGAUACUGAGAUCUUGAGUUCGGGAGAGGUGAGUGGAACUGCGAGUGUAGAGGUGAAAUUCGUAGAUAUUCGCAAGAACACCAGUGGCGAAGGCGGCUCACUGGGCCCGAUACUGACGCUGAGGAGAACGCAACUGGGGGAGCGAACAGG